rnacentral:rRNA from 1 species
CAAGUCGAACGAUGAAGCCCUUCGGGGUGGAUUAGUGGCGAACGGGUGAGUAACACGUGGGCAAUCUGCCCUUCACUCUGGGACAAGCCCUGGAAACGGGGUCUAAUACCGGAUAACACCGGCUUCCGCAUGGGGGCUGGUUGAAAGCUCCGGCGGUGAAGGAUGAGCCCGCGGCCUAUCAGCUUGUUGGUGGGGUAAUGGCCUACCAAGGCGACGACGGGUAGCCGGCCUGAGAGGGCGACCGGCCACACUGGGACUGAGACACGGCCCAGACUCCUACGGGAGGCAGCAGUGGGGAAUAUUGCACAAUGGGCGAAAGCCUGAUGCAGCGACGCCGCGUGAGGGAUGACGGCCUUCGGGUUGUAAACCUCUUUCAGCAGGGAAGAAGCGAAAGUGACGGUACCUGCAGAAGAAGCGCCGGCUAACUACGUGCCAGCAGCCGCGGUAAUACGUAGGGCGCAAGCGUUGUCCGGAAUUAUUGGGCGUAAAGAGCUCGUAGGCGGCUUGUCACGUCGGGUGUGAAAGCCCGGGGCUUAACCCCGGGUCUGCAUCCGAUACGGGCAGGCUAGAGUGUGGUAGGGGAGAUCGGAAUUCCUGGUGUAGCGGUGAAAUGCGCAGAUAUCAGGAGGAACACCGGUGGCGAAGGCGGAUCUCUGGGCCAUUACUGACGCUGAGGAGCGAAAGCGUGGGGAGCGAACAGGAUUAGAUACCCUGGUAGUCCACGCCGUAAACGUUGGGAACUAGGUGUUGGCGACAUUCCACGUCGUCGGUGCCGCAGCUAACGCAUUAAGUUCCCCCGCCUGGGG